rnacentral:rRNA from 1 species
AUGGCGCCGCUCACCGGAGCCGCCAUCGCCUCCUACAGCAUCCUGCUCCUCAUGCUCGUCCCCUGGGCCCAGGGCCAGGGGCAACCACCCGAGGCGUCGGAGGAGGCUUGGGCCGAGGGGCAACCACCCGAGGCGUCGGAGGAGGCUCUUACGAUGCUCUUGUCGGAGAGCGGGUGCGGCGCCUUCGCCGGCCUCGUCACCGCCACGGCCGGCGUGGGCGAGGCGUUCCGCGAGCAGAGCGGCAGCGACCUGGGGCUCACGAUCUUCUGCCCGGACGACGAGGCGGUGGCGGCGUUCAUCCCGAGGUUCAACGGCCUCACCGCCGACGGCCAGGUCGUGCUUGUUCUGUACCACGGACUGACGAUGGCCUACUCCGUGGAGAUGCUCAGGAGCGACGGGCGGGUGUUCACGCUUGAUGGGGGGCAGAUGGUCCCCAUCCGUGAGCACAGAGGCACGCUGACACUUUUUUCGUGGCCGCCGCCGUCACGGAACGAGGCCAUCUCGUUGUCUACCUCAUCGACGCCGUGCUGA